GAUGAAGAACGUAGCAAAAUGCGAUAAGUAAUGUGAAUUGCAGAAAUCAGUGAAUCAUCGAAUCUUUGAACGCACAUUGCGCCCGCCAGUAUUCUGGCGGGCAUGCCUGUUCGAGCGUCAUUUCAACCCUCAAGCACAGCUUGGUGUUGGGACUCGCGUUAAUUCGCGUUCCUCAAAUUGAUUGGCGGUCACGUCGAGCUUCCAUAGCGUAGUAGUAAAACCCUCGUUACUGGUAAUCGUCGCGGCCACGCCGUUAAACCCCAACUUCUGAAUGUUGACCUCGGAUCAGGUAGGAAUACCCGCUGAACUUAAGCAUAUCAAUAAGCGGAGGA
rnacentral:misc_RNA from 1 species